rnacentral:rRNA from 1 species
UACGUAGGGUGCGAGCGUUAAUCGGAAUUACUGGGCGUAAAGCGUGCGCAGGCGGUGAUGUAAGACAGGUGUGAAAUCCCCGGGCUUAACCUGGGAACUGCAUUUGUGACUGCAUUGCUGGAGUGCGGCAGAGGGGGAUGGAAUUCCGCGUGUAGCAGUGAAAUGCGUAGAUAUGCGGAGGAACACCGGUGGCGAAGGCGGCCUGCUGGGUUCUGGCUGACACUGAGGCGCGACAGCGUGGG